rnacentral:sRNA from 1 species
AAUUAGCAAGCGUUAGGGAUUGAAGUGGCAUCCUUUUUUGUUUUUACAAAAAAGAUACAACGGAAAGCCCGUUAAAAC